rnacentral:rRNA from 1 species
CCAGACUCCUACGGGAGGCAGCAGUGGGGGAUAUUGCACAAUGGGGGAAACCCUGAUGCAGCGACGCCGCGUGAGUGAAGAAGUAUUUCGGUAUGUAAAGCUCUAUCAGCAGGGACGAAAAUGACGGUACCUGAGUAAGAAGCCCCGGCUAACUACGUGCCAGCAGCCGCGGUAAUACGUAGGGGGCAAGCGUUAUCCGGAUUUACUGGGUGUAAAGGGAGCGUAGACGGUUAUGCAAGUCUGGAGUGAAAGGCGGGGGCUCAACCCCCGGACUGCUCUGGAAACUGUAGAACUAGAGUGCAGGAGGGGUAAGUGGAAUUCCUAGUGUAGCGGUGAAAUGCGUAGAUAUUAGGAGGAACACCAGUGGCGAAGGCGACUUUCUGGACUGUACCUGACGCUGAGGCGCGAAAGCGUGGGUAGCGAACGGGAUUAGAUACCCGGGUAC